AGUAGGGAUGGUAGGGACAGUAGGGAUGGUAGUGACGGUGGUGAUGUAUGAUGGUAGAGAUGGUAGGGAUGUUUGAUGGUAGGGGGUGGUAGUGAUGGUAGGGAUGGUAGUGAUGGUAGGGCUGGUAGGAAUGGUAGGGAUGGUAGUGAUGGUAGUGAUAGUAGGGAUGGUAGUAAUUGUAGGGAUGGUAGUAAUUGUAGGUAUGGUAGUGAUGGUAGUGAUGGUAGGGAUGGUAGUGAUGGUAGGGCUUGUAGUGAUGGUAGUGCUUGUAGUGAUGGUAGGGAUGGUAGUGAUGGUAGUGCUGGUAGGGCUUGAAGUGAUGGUAGGGCUUGUAGUGAUGGUAGGCAUGGUAGUGAUGGUAGGGCUGGUAGUGAUGGUGGGGCUUGUAGUGACGGUAGGGUUUGUAGUGAUUGUAGGGAUGGUAGUGAUGGUAGGGCUUGUAGUGAUGGUAGGGCUUGUAGUGAUGGUAGGGAUGAUAGUGAUGGUAGAGCUUGUAGUGAUGGUAGGGCUUGUAGUGUCUGUAGGGAUGGUAGUGAUGGUAGGGCUGGUAGUUAUGGUAGGGCUUGUAGUGAUGGUAAUGAUGGUAGGGCUGGUAGUGAUGUAUGAUGGUAGGGGUGGUAUGGAUGGUAGUGAUGUAUGAUGG
rnacentral:lncRNA from 1 species